rnacentral:rRNA from 1 species
UACGUAGGGUGCAAGCGUUAUCCGGAAUUACUGGGCGUAAAGCGCGCGUAGGCGGCUUUGCAAGUCGAGUGUGAAAUCCCCAGGCUUAACCUGGGAACUGCAUUCGAGACUGCAUAGCUAGAGUAUGGGAGAGGGAAGUGGAAUUUCAGGUGUAGCGGUGAAAUGCGUAGAUAUCUGAAGGAACAUCAGUGGCGAAAGCGACUUCCUGGACCAAUACUGACGCUCAUGUGCGAAAGCGUGGGGAGCAAACAGGG